ACUAGUGGGCUGGGCCAUUACAUUUGGAACGAUACAGAGAAGAUUAGCAUGGCCCCCGUGCAAGGAUGACACGCAUAAAUCGAGAAAUCGUCCAAAAUUUU